GAGAUUUCCCAUUCGAAAGAAUUAAGACCCCUGAGAGACGAUCAGGUAGAUAGGCUAGAAGUGGAAGUAUAGCGAUAUAUGGAGCGGACUAGUACUAAUCGGUCGAGGACUUAACCAU
rnacentral:rRNA from 1 species